UGAAAUUAGUCUGUAAAGGCUACGCAACAUCACCCCGUAAUAACAGCUUUGUAUCUAGAAAUGAUACAUAUCUUCAUUUUCCCACAGGACCGGUAAGGACUAUUGCUGAUAUUACGCCUGUGUAAUUCCUAAUUAAGUAAACAGUCAUAUCGCAGCUUUAAAGUGCGAAUAUUGGAAAAGCAUUUACCGGAUGAAAGCAUCUGGCACAGAAUGUGAUAAGAUUGAUUGAUUGUAUAGCGUCCCUGUUGAGAACUAUUCACUCCUAUGGAGACGUCACCAAGACCAGUGAAGGGCUUCAAAUUUAGGCCUAUGUUCGGCGCUUACGACCAUUGAGCAGUGAGGGUUCGUUAGCGUGCCACACCUACUGUGACACGGGACAUCCGUUUUUAAGGUCAUCCCCAAGGACCCGUGACAUUCACACCCGAUGCCGAUGGAAUUGUCACUUCCAGUUCUGUCAUGGCCGGGAUUCGAAAGCCGACCUUCCGCAUGCGGGCGAACGCUCACCUUUAUCUAGACCACCGCGGCGGUACAAAAGAUGUUUUGAAUAAGUUUUGUUUACAUCUUGAAACGAUAAACUUAUCUUAGUUUCGGGUAUGGUACUUAAGGAGGUAUGCUACACAUUCCCUGUGAUCAUUCUUAACAUUGCAGUCAAUUUUGACAUUUUGCAACGUGACGGCUAGUUUUUAAACUUUCCCAAUCAGUUUCGAAAUACAGUGAUUCUUUGGAUACAAAAAUACGUAGACCAGUUGCAGCUAUUUGUACUUUUACAACAUCAUUUACAGAGCAACCAUCCCAAACAAGGGAAGUGUAUGACUUUGUUGAAGUAUUUUGUAAAUCGUCAUCGGCAAAUAUAAUUUCAGUGUCAAGCAAUAAAGAAUUUUGUUUGGGAAGGUGUGAUAUAUAUCUAUAGAUACCAGUUUUUUUGGAUAUCAAUUAGAUGAUUAGCCAUUUUGUAGUGAGGCAGAUAGGUGCGACAAGAAAUUUGAGACCUUUGGCAAUGAAGUAGUUAUGCUAUAACAUAUCGAUUAAACAGAGGCUGACAUGAUGGUUACGUUCAGUGGGAUCUGGAAAAGUACCGAUUUUGAAGUUUGCUUACGUCUAGUUUAAUACAUAAACAAAGAAACGCUCGGAUAACACAAACACCCAUACCCAAGCCUGACAUGAAGCGCACGUUUGAUUGGGAAGACUCGGGUAAUUCUACAGUGAUGGCUGUGCAUGUGCAGAGGCUAUACUCCUUAAAUGUGAAUAAAACAACAACUGUUGCUCUAGUGUUGUUUUGAAAAAUGGCGUUUGAUUUGAAAAUCGUAUCAAUGACAAUUUAUCU